AUUUCUGUUUGGAUACCAGCGUCCUCCUUUUUCAAAAUUCGUCUCCCUCUAUUGCUGCAUGUGGGAGCUGAACAGGAUCUGCCGAGCUGCAGCGUACACAUCUGCAUCCAAACUGCUGCACAUGAUGUCCUCUCCUCCCUGGGGCUCACAAAUCAUAAGCACAGGUGGUGUAAGCUUGCACUGACCUACAGGACAAUGUGCAAACCUUUCUGUAGCAGGACUGGGGUUUGGAUUUGGCUGCAGGAAAUAGAAGUGUGCCCUGGUAUUUACUGCAGUGUGGUGUUAGGGUAGCAUGUGUGUAUGGAGUGAAGGGGAGGAAGGAUCACAGCGUGAUCCUUGGGUUGCUGGAGGCCAUCUAACAAUUCAGCACUGGUGAAUGUAACAGAAGAUAUCUUGCUUUUUACACAGGCAGAUGUGAUAGCAAGUUCCUCUUUUCAAAGUAGGAAGUGGCAUUUGUGGGCGCUGAAUCUUAAGAAGAUUCAGUAGCUGUGAGAACAGAAGAUAUGAGAGAUCUUCAAAGUUUUGAGAGGAAAAAAAACAAAUGGCUUAACUGACAGGGCAGUGAAUGAGAAAUUGGGCCUGCCUCUCUGGUACCUGAUGGAUUUGCAGAGACUGUGACAUUCCUUACCUGGCAAGUUCGAGGUAUAGUUAUACGACCACCUUUCAGCUACUGGGAUUAGAGGAAGGAACAGAAGUUGUCAACAAGGAGCACGUGCUGAAGAAAGGAGCCUACUUGUCAGUUCUUUACCUGCGUCACUUGAGAAUCCGAGAGCUACAGGUAAAAAAAUAAAAUGAAAUAAAAUCUGCAUGAAUCAGGGUUAAUGUUUUAAGGAAGGAACUGUCAUCCAACUGCUAAUGCAAUUGUAUCUGUGCUUCUGUUUGUUUCAGCGAGUCUGCCUGGGGUUCCUGAACUACUUCAGAUCCGUGGAGAGAACCCUGACCAUCAGUACUGCUGGCCUGUCCUUUAAAGCGGGUAAUUUAAUUCCCAGCGCAGAAGAUACCUGCUGGGUCAGUGCUGCCAAAGGAGGCAUUGGUGUUUCUGGUGGCCUCAGUUCUCAGCCUUAUAUUCAUUACACACCAGCUGACUACAAGGUCCAUAGUGCUCAGUUCAUGGAGUUUGCGGAGGUGGAAAACCACGAUGACUUUUAUACCAGUGAAGGCGGAUAUAUUCACACGCAGGAUCCACGAGGGCUUUAUAUAAUAUAUGAUGUGGCUUUAAAGGACCUGAAGGAGCUUGAGCACCAGCUGCUUCUUGUGACCAGCCAGUAUAUUGAGAAAGAUAAAAGCCAUGUAACUUGUGGUCAGUUCAGAGGCAGCAACCUUCUUGGCUGGGCACAUGCCUCUGUGGAUCGAUUUGCAGUGCUGCUUGACCUCUGGACGUGUGAAACUGCUCUCUUGGAGAAAAAAUGUCAGCUUCUAGAUGUUUACUUUGAAGCUUACCAACAUGCUAUAGACCCAGAAGAAAGAUUUGCUUUGGCCCAAACAAUAGUUGACGUCAUGCAUAAACGUCCACGAUUUGAUCUCAAGCUUGGAUAUUUUGUGGAUACCUACAGAGAUGAAUGCAUCUGUUUACAGCUUCACCUCCAGCUGCUGAGGGGCAUAGUAAACCAACAAGUAGGUUGAGUUUACAGUAUAUCCAUCUUGGGAUAGCGGGAGGUGAAAUCCCAAAUGGGAA
rnacentral:lncRNA from 1 species